UAUAAACUUACUUAGAAUAGCCUAACGUGAUGGCAUCUAGACUUACACAAGAGGAAGAAAACUAUGUCAGGAUGAGCCUUUUACUGACGGGAAUAUCUCCUCGUGCAGCACGAGGUUUGUUUGAUCACGAAUUUGUUCCGUCAUGCUUGAAUGCAACAAUAACGAAAGAGUACAAUAAACUUAAAGAUCUUCAGAAGAAGCGAAUAAUUAACCAGCAGCAGUGGAAUUUGCUGUUCCCAAGACGCCCCCGUAAGUAACAUUGGCCUAGCUAUGUUAAUAUCAAAAGGCACAU
rnacentral:lncRNA from 1 species